CAAGCCCGUGUCGAAUCUCCUCCUCGCUAGCUCUCUCCUCUCCUCCCUGCUCGUGUCGAACCUCCUCUGCCCACCACCACCGGCGACACCGUCUCUCUUUUAAGCGACACCAAGCCCGUCUGCACAACGCCGCCACUCCCCGCUUCACCCAGCUCUCCUCCCUCCCCAUUGCCCUCAUCGUCCCAAGUGCGUGUAAUCAACAUCAAUGAUCCCUAGAGUCCUUGCUUUAGAAUCGACAUCAACAAAUCUACAUCUCGACAGCCAGAAUUAGUGUGAUGGGAGAUGAAGAAGAUGGAAUGACACCUAGGCCUUCGACUUGGACUUCACAGUCAUUAAUGACGCCUCAAAAUACAUUUGGAGAUGAAAAUGAUUACCAUGCAGUUUCAAGUUUGAGGGAAGUUGUAUGAGGUACUUGUUAAUUGUAUUCCUCUAGAGAUCAUCCUGAAGGCUGCUCUAUGAAUUGUUGAAGAAAUUGGAUGUGGAACUAAAGCACAAGGUUUGCCAUUGGGCUACAUGAGUUCUGCAAGCAAUAUUUAUAGAGGAGUUUUGUUGUAUAUUGUUAUUACAAUGUAUAUCAAACUGUGUUAUUAAAGUGUUAGUACAAUGUAUAUUACAUUAAAGUGUAUAUUUCUGGUGACAUAUUAUUUAUGAAAGGUUUAUAGAACAUAAUUUUAAACUUGCCAAAGAAAUACAAGGAUAAUAGAAGUUGGAGAGA